rnacentral:rRNA from 1 species
GAUGAACGCUGGCGGCGUGCCUAAUACAUGCAAGUCGAGCGAACAGAUGAGGAGCUUGCUCCUCUGACGUUAGCGGCGGACGGGUGAGUAACACGUGGAUAACCUACCUAUAAGACUGGGAUAACUUCGGGAAACCGGAGCUAAUACCGGAUAAUAUAUUGAACCGCAUGGUUCAAUAGUGAAAGACGGUUUUGCUGUCACUUAUAGAUGGAUCCGCGCCGCAUUAGCUAGUUGGUAAGGUAACGGCUUACCAAGGCAACGAUGCGUAGCCGACCUGAGAGGGUGAUCCGCCACACUGGAACUGAGACACGGUCCAGACUCCUACGGGAAGCAGCAGUAGGGAAUCUUCCGCAAUGGGCGAAAGCCUGACGGGGCAACGCCGCGGGAAUGAUGAAGGUCUUCGGAUCGUAAAACUCUGUUAUUAGGGAAAAACAAAUGUGUAAGUAACUAUGCACGUCUUGACGGUACCUAAUCAGAAAGCCACGGCUAACUACGUG